GCGUUUUUCAGUUCUAUGGUCGUAGUGCAAAUUUGAAGCUGAAGGAAGUUAAGGAAGAAAAUGACAAAGAAGAAGAACCCUUUGGUUUUUCUGGAUGUCUCAAUUGAUGGAGACCCCAGGGAAAGAAUGGUUUUUGAGCUGUUUUAUGACGUUGCUCCAAAAACGGCCGAGAAUUUUCGUGCACUGUGUACAGGAGAGAAAGGAAUUGGCCCCAAAACUGGAAGACCACUACAUUAUAAGGGGUCCUUUUUUCAUCGGAUUAUUGGAGGUUCUAUGGCACAGGGUGGAGAUUUUGUCAAGCGAGAUGGUACUGUUGGAGAGAGCAUAUACGGUGGGAAGUUUCCAG
rnacentral:misc_RNA from 1 species